GACGAACGCUGGCGGCGUGCUUAACACAUGCAAGUCGAACGGAAAGGCCCUGCUUUUGUGGGGUGCUCGAGUGGCGAACGGGUGAGUAACACGUGAGUAACCUGCCCUUGACUUUGGGAUAACUUCAGGAAACUGGGGCUAAUACCGGAUAGGAGCUCCUGCUGCAUGGUGGGGGUUGGAAAGUUUCGGCGGUUGGGGAUGGACUCGCGGCUGAUCAGCUUGUUGGUGGGGUAGUGGCUUACCAAGGCUUUGACUGGUAGCCGGCCUGAGAGGGUGACCGGCCACAUUGGGACUGAGAUACGGCCCAGACUCCUAUGGGAGGCAGCAGUGGGGAAUAUUGCACAAUGGGCGGAAGCCUGAUGCAGCAACGCCGCGUGCGGGAUGACGGCCUUCGGGUUGUAAACCGCUUUCGCCUGUGACGAAGCGUGAGUGACGGUAAUGGGUAAAGAAGCACCGGCUAACUACGUG
rnacentral:rRNA from 1 species